CCCGGGGGCUCACCACCUUCAGGACGGGGGAGCUGAAAUGUUUAUCACUACUGACUUUAUUGAAGUCGUGUAGGUAAAGCGCCUUCUGGUAAAGAACUGGGCGGACUCCUUAAGUGUUUGCGAUUUGAACUACUCGGUGACUUUUUGAUGUAGAGUUCAGUACCUGCUUCCUGUUCUUUCUCUUCCUUUCGUACCGACUGCUGACUCAUGUACCUACAUUUUCUAGUGGUAAAGGGCUCCCUGAUGCGUUGAAUGGUGUCAGACCCCAUGCCUUGAUUGCAGCAGGUGGAGAAGUUUUCCUGCCCUGAACAAAUCCGUACAUUGUCACUUGAAAGAGAUCCCAGAGAUGUGUGGAAGGGCAUAAAGGAACCCACAUUCCCACAUUCUGGCAGCAUCCCAUCGAGUCCUCUGGGCUCGUUUGACCCAGAGCUGUUUAAGACAUAGUUGGUGCCUCUUCUGGAAGCUUAAGAUAUACAAAAAUGAGAUGCUUGUUAUAGUAUAGUGUAUGGGGAAGAAUGUGGUUUGGAGUUAGAUCUGGACUGAAAUCCCAGUCCCGUAACUAACUAGUAGUGUGACUUGGGGUAAGUUACCUAGCCUCUCCAAGCCUCAGUUUCCCAUUGAUAAAAUGGAAGAAAUAGUAAUAAGUUUACCACAUUUUUUUAAAAAAUGAGGAUUAGGUAGACUAGUGUAUGAAAAACAUCCAGCUUGGUGCUGGCACUGUUUUGUAGUAAGGAUCAGGAAUGUUAACUGUUACGAUUAUGAACCGAAGCAUAUAACAAUUACAGCACAAAAAUGGAGUUUUAAAAAAAAUCCACUUUCAAAUAACAAAGUCCUUUUCAUAGAUCUUUCUGUUGAUACAGGUGUGGAGGUAGAUUGUUGACUUUUGGAGUGGCAUUAAUCAUUUGCUUAAAUAAUAGUGACUGGCUUUCAUUAUUAUUUAAACAACUAAAAACAAGUACCAGGUAUUUCAGGAGUAGCUUAAAUAAUUAUAUUGCAAACAAAAUUGAGUACCUAUCUUAGAGAAAACAUACUAUGAAGUAAAGACAUUUAUAUAACUACAUUAAUGCUAGAAGUCUCUGAACCAUCAGAUGUGCCAGUUAGUACUUUAGAUUUAGGGGUGUGUGUGUGUGUGUAUUUUAUUUUUUGUUUUUUCUUUUAAUAAAAAUGUAUUUAUUUGACAGGCAGAAUGACAGAGAAGGAGAGAGAGAUCUUUCAUUCACUGCUUAACUCCCCAAAUGCCUGUAACAGCUGGGGUUGGUCAGGCCAACGCCAAGAACCUGGAACUCCAUCAGGGUCUCCCACACAGGUGGGAGGACCCCAGGCACAUAGGUCAUUUUCCUCUGCCUCUCCAGGCACAUUGGCAGGGAGCUAGAUUGGGAGUGGAGCAGUCAGAACUGGAAUCAGCACCGCAGGUUGCUGGCAUUGCAAGCACCUUGCCCUGGUGUGCCACAAGGCUGGCCCCUAAGUUUAGUUUUUUUCAUUAUGUAAAGAAAAUAUUUUGAUACCCAUAUUUUCGUUUAAUAAAAAUUGCCCUAGUAGAAAUACCAGGAGGUAUUUAUAGGAAAAUUCAUGUGUGGAGUAAGAUACAUUUUCGUGGUGUGACUCCCAUUCUUGGCAAGCGUAAUUUUCUCUAGUGGAAGAGCAUAAUUUCUUCUUUAGAACUAUAAAAACAUUAUGAACUUAAAAUGAAAGCAGGAAGUAACUUUUAUGACUACACCUAGGAAGAAUGAGAAAUAAUUCCCCAAAGCGUGAAACUUGGGGAAAAAACCAUGCUACAAACACAUAAGCCUUAAUGAGACCCAGUACUAAACAAAGCAGUCCUUUUUAGUUUGCAUCUUCUAAGAAUGACCAUAUUUUGAAGUAGCAGUCACCUGAGUAGAAAACCAAGAAUUUUGGUUCAUUUUUUUCUUGUGAAAACAAAUUAAUUGAUGAAUGAUAAUGCUCUAAUAUUUUUGUAACCAAGUACAUGUCUUCUUUGUUCAUCUUAAUUGAAUCAAAGUGUGAAAGCAACAAUUGUUUCCUGCUGCACUGCUGUUGGAGCUCAGCGUGCCCGUAGGGAAGGCAGUAGACAGGCAGAUAGGUGACUUCAUGUGGGGGCUUCAGUGGGUGAGGGCGUCACACAGGUAGGCGGCUGAGAUCUGAACUGAAGGCGGCAGACUUCCUGACUCCUCUGGUCUAGUGCUCGUUUUGGCAGGUGCUGCCUGGAAAUCUGUGCAGGACAAGUAUGCUUGUCCCAGGGUGCUGAGGGUAGAAAGAUGAAUAGGAUAUCCUAUUCUCAAAGGUCUGUAUGAUGGGAAGAUGACGUAAAACAGGUAAUUGUAAUAUGCUGUGAUGACUCCACGUGAUAGAGAUAGGCAUUGCACGACCUGCUCAGCCAGCAGAGCCUCCCGAGCGAGGCCUGCAGUUCGGAAGGGGAAGGAUGGACAGGAAGGGGCUCUCUGGAGGUGGUAAUGACGGUCAAGACGGGUCUUGAGUGUACUGAAGUUAGACAAGUCAAGUCGCCUUCUGAUUUUUUUUUUUUAAAGAUUUAUUUAUUUGAAAGGCAGAAUGACAGAGAGAGACAGAGAAAGAUCUUCCUUCCAACUGCUGUUCACUCCCCAGACGGCCAUGACAGCCAGGUUGAAGCCAGGAGCCCAGGAUUCCACCUGGGUCUCCCAUGUGGGUGGCAGGGACCCAACUACGUAGGCCAUCAGCACAUUGGUAGAAAUGUUGGAUCCAAAGCAGAGCAGCUGGGACUCAAACUGGAUGUAGGCAUUCCAGGUGGAGGCUUACCUGUGGCUCGACAACCAUUCCUCCACAGACUUUUCUGAAGUAACUCUUGUCUUUCACUCUGUGGAUAUCAGAUAGAUCACAAUGUGUUUAUCUGUGCACCUGCUGAUUUAUCUUUGAGUUGUUUCUGGUUUUGGCUCUUAGGAAUAAAGCUGUAUGUAAUUUGGGAAGUUGUCUUUUUAUAGAAAUGUUUUCAUUUCUCUAUUAUGUAGAAGGGUUGUAGGAAAAGGGUCUGUAUUAUAGAAAUGUUUUCAUGUCUCUGUUAGGUAGAAGGGUUGCAGGAAAGGGGUCUGUAUUAUAGAAAUGUUUUCAUGUCUCUGUUAGGUAGAAGGGUUGCAGGAAAGGGGUCUGUAUUAUAGAAAUGUUUUCAUGUCUCUGUUAGGUAGAAGGGUUGCAGGAAAGGGGUCUGUAUUAAACUGUCGCUAGAUGCUGCCUCACAGUAGAUGUGUCAUUGAGCAUUCCCACCGGCAGCCCAAGAGUGCAGCUGCUUUCUCUGCUUCCAAACUGAUGUUGUCAUCUUUUAAAUCUUAGCUGUGUGUGUGUGUGUGUGUGUGUGUGUGUGUGUGUUUCUUUAUUUGAAAAGCAGAGUUACAGAGGGGGGGAGGGAAGAAAAGAGAGAUUUCCCAUCCUCUGGUUCAUCCCCCCAAAGAAAGAGAGAAAGAGAAAGAGAUCUUCCAUCCUUUGGUUCACUCCCCCAAAUGGCUACAAUGGCUGAGGCUGGGCCAGGUCAAAGCCAGGAGCCUGAACUCCAUCCAUCCUGGUCUCAUAUGUAGGAAGCAGGGACCCAAGUACUUGGGUCAUCCCAGGUGCAUUAGCUGGAGCUGGGUUGAGGUGGAGCAGCUGGUACUUGAACUGGCGCUCAUACAGGGUGCUGGUGUUGCAGGUGAGCGCCCUAACUAGUGCCAGCCCCAAAUCUUAGCAAUUUUACUUAAUGUUGCCUGUUACCUUAGUUUGGAUUCCCCUGGUGACUAGUGAUUUUGAAUGUCUUUUCAUGUGGUUAUUAGCCAUUUUUGUAUCUUUUCUGAAAUGUCUGUGUAGUUCUGGUUUUAAAAUUGGAUUAUUUGUCUUACUGAUUUGUAGAGAAUUUAGUGUAAUACCACCGAAAUCAGAAAAUGUUGACAACAUUUUGAGAAGCUGGUAAUUCAUAUUUCUUUGUUAUUUUGUGCAUUUGUGUUGAAAUUGGAGAAGUAUUCUCUUUAGCCUUCUUUUUUUCUUAAGAGCUAAUUGAUACCUGAAAUUUUCUGCUUUUUUAAAGGCACGCUUGGAGUCGAAAGAUUUAUAGUAUUAAAAUAUCACCACCUACUGGCCAAGAGUGGCAUCUGCGGCCUAAUUCGUUAGCAUAAUACUUGAUAAAGCUAAUGUGUGUGACAUGAAUAAUGUGUACGACUGAUACACGAACACGUGUCGGUAGGCUUCACCAUAGAAUGGCCAGUCCACAAACCCGUCACCUGCUGCAAAGCCACAGUAGCUCCACUGUUGCUGUGGUGACCCGGCUGCUCUUCAGCCCAGCGUCCGUCUCUAUGCUGUGUUAUCCAGGGUUUUCCUCUCUCCCUGCAUCGUUCAUGCUUCUCAGAGUGUGAUUGUAGGCAGUCAGAUCCUUGUGAAUUGUCAGUCCAACUUUUAAAAAUUGUGCUUCCAAAUAUUGUGACUCUGUCACUCACCUCCCCAUUGCAUUUCAGUACAUGGUUAAUGUCAUAUUGAUUUAGGAAUUUUUUUUAUGGAAGGGAAGGCAAAUAAUGAAAAUGCUCAGCAUCUAGUUUUUUUGUAAACAUUUAAAAAAUUUAUUUAUUUAUUUGAAAGUCAGAGUUACAAAGAGAGAGAAGGAAAGGCAGAGAGAGAGAGAGAGAGAGAGAGAGGUCUUCUACCCGCUGGUUCACUCCCCAAUUGGCCACAACAGCCGGAGCUGUGCCCAUCCGAAGCCAUGAGCCAGGAGCUUCUGGGUCUCCCAUGUGGGUACAAGGGCCCAAGGAGUUGGGCCAUCUUCUACUGCUUUCCCAGGCCAGAAGCAGAGAGCUGGGUUGGAAGUGGAGCAGGCGGGUCUUGAACUGGCGCCCAUAUGGGAUGCCAGCGCUUCAGGCCAGGGUGUUAACCCGCUGCACCACAGCGCCAGCCCCUCAGCAUCUAGUGUUUAUGUCCUCAGUCAUACUGGACUGAAUGAGGUCUGCAGAAAUGAAGCCAUCAGUGUUGACAACUGUGGCUUGUGUAUACAGUAGCAGGACAGCAAGACAGCUGCACAGUUUCGUUUGUAAUUAUGUAAUUUCAGAAGAGAUCUCACUGCAUGGAUGAUUUUGUUUGUUUUAAAUUUCUGAGACAUGUCCAGUGAAGGAAAUGUGUUUAGGGAGUCCAGCAGAGUGGUCCCAGCAGCAGUCAUUUAGAACUUUAAGGAACACAAGAGUAUCAAGUAUAUGCUAGCUGCUGUUACUACUGUUAGUGAUAUCAGCACAUCAGUUUAGAAUGAGACCUGAUGUCACAUCGGAUUGAGAAUGCCCUGUUUCACAGAAAGCCAAAGUGCUAGGUUUAAUUUAGAUGUCCAUCCCAGCUUUGUAAUUUUAACUUCUCUAAGUUCCAAAUGUAUUAAUUAAUUUCCUGUUAGGAUUUUGAGAAUUUUUGGAAGAGGAGGGUAGAUAAAGAGGGAGAAAGAGGGAGGAAAGGAGAGGGGAAGAAGGGAGGGAGGGAGGGGGAGAGAGAGAGAGAGGAAAGGAAUAAUACCUACGCAGAGUAAGGGGUCAGUAAAUUACAGCUGUAUUUGUUUGAAUAAUGAAUAAAAUAUGAGACUUUAAGGCACCUCAUUUCUUUUUUAUUUUUUAAGAUUUAUUUUAUUUGAAAUGCAGAGUUAGAGGGAGAAAGAAAGAGAGAGCAAGCAAUCUUGCAUGUGCUGGUUCACUCCCCAAAUGACCACAACAGCCAGGGCUGGGCCAGACUGAAGCCAGGAGCCAGGAGC